UAGGGAAUAUUGGACAAUGGGUGAGAGCCUGAUCCAGCCAUGCCGCGUGCAGGAAGAAGGCGUUAUGCGUUGUAAACUGCUUUUUGCCAGGGGAUAAAAAGACCGUGCGCGGUUAAUUGAAGGUACCUGGUGAAUAAGCCACGGCUAACUACGUGCCAGCAGCCGCGGUAAUACGUAGGUGGCAAGCGUUGUCCGGAUUUAUUGGGUUUAAAGGGUGCGUAGGUGGCCCUGUAAGUCAGUGGUGAAAUAUCUCAGCUUAACUGAGAGGGUGCCAUUGAUACUGCAGGGCUUGAGUACAGAUGAGGUAGGCGGAAUUGACGGUGUAGCGGUGAAAUGCAUAGAUAUCGUCAAGAACACCGAUAGCGAAGGCAGCUUACCAAGCUGUAACUGACACUGAGGCACGAAAGUGUGGGGAUCAAAUAGGAUUAGAUACCCCCGUAGUCCCUGAGCGGGCUGGCAAGGCGCAU
rnacentral:rRNA from 1 species